AUUCUUGUUAAUGUUCUUUGAUGCAUAAAAGUUUAAAAUUUUUAUUCAGUACAAUUAAUUUUUUUCUUUUGUUGCUUAUACUUUUGGUGUCAAGCCUAAGAAUCCAUUGCCAAAUCCAAUGUUAUAAAGAUUAGCCCGUAUGUUUUUUCUAGGAAUUUUAUAGUUUUAGCUCUUAAAUUUAGGGCAUUGACCCAUUUUGAGUCAAUUUUUAUAUAUGGAGUGAGGUAGAGUUCCAGCUUCAUUCUUUUGAAUGAGGUUAUCCAGUUCCAGCAGUAUUUGUUGAAGAGACUGUUUUUUCCCCACUGAAUGGUCUUGGCACCUUUGUCAAAAAUCAAUUUGCCAUAGAUGUUUUGUUUUAUUUCUAUAUUCUCAAUUCUGUUCCUUUGGCCUAUAUUUCUAUUAAGCCAGUACCAUACACAUUUGACUACUGUAGCCUUGUAGUAGGUUUUAAAAUCAGAAGGUUUGAGUCCUCCCACUUUGUUUUUCUUUUUCAGUAUUGUUUAGGAUAUUUGGGGCCCCUUGCAGUUCCAUAUGAAUUUGAGGAUUGGCUUUUCUAUUUCUGGAAAAAAAAAAAAAGACCAUUAGAAUUUUGAUGAGGCUUGUACUGAAUCUGUAGAUUGCUUGACAGUUGCCAUCUUAAAAAUGUUAAGUAUUUCAAUCAGUGAACAUGGAUUAUCUUUCCAUUACUUUUAGGUCUUCUUUAAUUUCUUUCUGUAAUGUUUUGUAGUUUCCAGUGUACAGGUCUUUCACCUCUUUGGUUAAAUUUAUUCAUGAUAUUUUAUCCUUUUUGAUGUUAUUAUAAAUGGAAUUGUUUUAUUAAUAUCUUUUUUUGGAUUGUUCCUUACUGGUGGAUAAAACACUGAUUAUUGUGUGUUGACCCUGCUGAAUUCAUUUAUUAGCUCUCGUAGUAUUUUUGUGGAUUUUAUGAUAUUUUCUAUAUAUGGAAUCAUGUUAUCGUUAAAUAGAGAUAAUUUUACUUCUUCCUUUUUAAUUUGGAUGCCUUUUAUUUAUUUUUCUUGCCAAAUUGCUCUGACUAGGACUUACAGUACAAUGUUGAGUAGUAGGGAUGAAAACAGGCAUCCUUGUCUUUUUCUUUAUCUUAUGAAGGCAGCUUUCAGUCUUUCACCAUUGAGUAUAAUGUUAAUUGUGGAUAUAUCGUAAAUGCUCUUUAUUUUAUUAAGGAAGUUUCCUUCUAUUCUUAGUUUGCUGAGUUUUUUAAUCAUGAAAGGGUGUUGAAUUUUGUCAAAUACUUUUUCUAUAACUAUUGAAGUAAUCAUGUUUUCCUCCCCUUUGUUCUGUUAAUUUAGUGUAUUACAUUGAAUUCUUUUCUUUGGUUGAACCACCCUUGCAUUCCUGGGAUAAAUAUCACUUGGUUAUGGUGUAUAAUCCUUUUAGUGUGCUGUUGGGUUUGGUUUGUUAGUAUUUUGUUGAAGAUUUUUACAUCUAUAUUCAUAAGGGAUAUUGUUCUAUAUUUUCUUCUGCUGUCUUUAUCUGACUUUGUUAUCAGGAUAAUGCUGGCCUCAUUGAAUGUGUUAGAAAGUGUUCUCUCUUUUUCUAUUUUUUGGAAAAAUUUGAAUAGGAGUGAUGUUAAUUUAUCUUUUAUCUUUUUGAAUUCACUAGCAAAACCAUCUGGUCCGGGACAUUUCUUUGAUGGAAAAUUUUUGAUUAUUCAUUCAAUCUCUUUACUUAUUAUAGGGCAGUUGAGGUUUUCUAUUUAUUCUUGAGUCAGCUUUGGUAAUUUUGUGUUUCUAGGAAUUUGUCCAUUUCAUCUGUUUUAUUCAAUUUGUCAUACAAUUGUUCAUAGUGUUCUCUUAUAAUACUUUUAAUUUCUGUAAGGUUGGUUGUAAUGUCCCUGCUUUUAUUUGUAAUUUUAGUUAUAUGUACUUUCUCUCUAUCUUUUUUUUUUAGUAGUCUAGCUGAGGGUUUGUCAAUUUUGUUGAUAUUUUAUUUGGUUUCAUUGAUUUUUUUUUUUUUUUGGGGGGGCCGCAUUGGGUCUUCAUUGUGCGCGGGCUUUCUCUAGUUGUGGUGAGUGGGGCUACUUUUCAUUGCGCUGGGCAGGCUUCUCAUUGCAGUGGCUUCUCUUGUUGUGGAGCACGGGCUCUAGGUGCGUGGGCUUCAGUAUUUGUGGCACAUGGUCUCAGUAGUUGUGGCUCGUGGGCUCUAGAGCGCAGGCUCAGUAGUUGUGGCACGCAGGCUUAGUUGCUCUGCAGCAUGUGGGAUCUUCCCGGACCAGGGAUUGAACCUGUGUCCCCUGCAUUGGCAGGCGGAUUCUUAACCACUGCACCACCAGGGAAGUCCCUCUAGUUUCUUAAGGUGCAAAGUUCAGUUGAUUUGAGAUCUUUCUUCUGUAUUAAUGUAUAUGUUUGCAGCUAUAAAUUUCUCUCUGAGUACUUCUUUUGCUGCAUCCUAUAAGUUUGGUAUGUUUUAUUUUUGUUUUCAUUCAUCUCAAAGUAUUUUCUGACUUUCCUAUUUCUUUCUUCUUUGACUCAUUGGUUGUUAAGGAUGCAUUGUUUAAUUUCCACAUAUUUGUGGAUUUUCCUGUUUUUCUUCUGUUAUUGAUUUCUAGCUUCAUUCCAUUAUGGUUAGAGAAGAUAGUUUGUAUGAUUUCAAUUUUUUUAAUUUAUGGAAAAUUGUUUUAUGGCCUAACAGACUAUCCUGAAGAAUGUUCCAUGUGCACUUGAGAAGAAUGUGUCUUCUGCUAUUGUUGGGUGAAGUGUUCUGUAUAUGUCUGUUAGGUCUAGAUGGUUUAGAGUAUUGUUCAAGUCCUCUGUUUCCUUUUUAAUCUUCUGUCUAGAUGUCUAUCCAUUAUUUAAAGUAAAGUAUUGAGACCUCUAACUAUUAUUGUAGAACUAUUUCUCCUUUCAGUUCUGUCAGUGUUUCCUUCAUAUAUUUUCUGGCUCUGUUGUUUGGUGCAUAUAUAUCUAUAAUUUUUAUAUCUUGUUGUGGAUUGACCCUUUUAACUAUAAAAUGUCUUUCCUUGUCUCUUGUACAAUUUUUUUAAUUUAAAAUCUGUAUUGUCUGAUAUUUGUAUAGCCAUGCCAGCCAGCUCUCUUUUAGCUGCUAUUUGUAUGGAUUUACAUAGUUUUGAUAGCAAAAUUCAGAUUAUGAUCUAGGCAAGUGAUGGUGGUUCAAAAAUAAAUUUUUGUCAUGUUAUUGCUUAUUUAUUUAACUGGAGUUAGUUUAAAAGUGUCAAGAAAUGUCUUAUAUGCAUAUAUAUUUUUUUAAGUGUGUGUACUGUUUACUAUAGAAUUUAUUCUUUGGAGAUUAGGAUAUUUCUUGUAUUUCUUUGUAGCUAAAAGCUGAUACUAUAAACUUUAGUUUACUAUAUGCAUCAUGUCCCAGUUGCGUUUAUAGUCUACAUAGUCAACUAUAGUUCUCAAUCAUAUUAAUUGCUACUAGAUUAUCAUAUAUGUGUUUGUGUGUGUGUGUAUGUGUGUGUAUUCCCUUUAAUGUAUAUUUAAAGUAGACAUCAAGUCAGUUUUAUACCCAUAGUACCCAACAGACUUACGUUUUGACUUCUAAAACUCUGGAAAUGGAGAUCAUAUAUACUUCUUUCGUUGAAAAUUUACUAUAGGUUUUUAUUUGUAAAAUCCUGAGAGUAUAUUGGCUACAUGUAUGGCAUGCAUUUCUCUCCAGGUAUACCACUAUACCAAGUUGAGCACAUUUUGGUGAUACCAUUCUAUAGAAGUAAAUUGAGGAAGCUAAUUCAAUGUUAAUUUACUAUACUUUUCUAAUAUCAGUUUCUCUUUAAUUCUUUGACAGAAAAAUUUAGGUUUAGGUGGUUAAUGCAGUAUGAUUUAGAAAUAUAUGAAUUUGAUGAUUUUUUUCCUUUUGGGAAAAUUAUUUUAAAGCCCAUAGUAUUUUACUGGUAAGAUUAUUUACAUUUUAAAAGUACCUGUCAUAAUACUUUGCUAAGACAAUUUAUUAUUGAAAGAACUCAUGUAUAUUUCUGGGCAAUUAUAAGGAAGUUAAGGUUGCAGAAUGAGCUGUGAAUGUUCUUACCUGUCCUCUCCCUCUAAGAGUUGUUGCUCAUUGUUUUGUUUCUCCAUGUUGCUUCCAAUUCUCUAAUAAUCCUUUAGGAUUAGUACCUAAUCCCAGCAAACAAAAAUAUUCAAGGAGUCCCUAUGGAUUAUGAUGAGGAAAAGAAAAAUUUUAUCAAGAAGAGAUGAGCUAUUAGUGAAUAAAGUACAAAGAGAGUGAGUGGGAGGACUUUUGCCACAAGAGCAGCAAAGACCAAGAAGGUAAUCAAUUCUUCUGCUUUCCCCCAUCUGCCAUGGACAGUAUGCUGUCGUUUGUCUAUAAAGAAAAGGAAAGAUUGGGUGAUUUCAAAACCUUACAAGCAUACCAAAAUAUUCAUUUCUCUGAUAUGGGUGGGGAUAGGCCAUGAAGUUUAAAUCUACAGCUAAGAAACAGAAGAUUAAAAAUUGGUUGGGAAGUCAAUAAGUAAAUUUCUAGGUUUUAUAGGGAAAGGUGAAAUUUUGAGCUACUCAACUCUAUCCACUCUUUUUGGAAAGAUCACAUAAGGUGAUGUAUAAUAAAAAUGCACGGUAUAAUAUAAAAUUGUGUAUAUGUGCAAGGUAGUAUUAUGAUUAUGGCUCAUUAGAAAUAUACUUAGCAUGCAAUGUACAGCAUGAUGACUGUAGCUAACACUGUUGUAUGAUAUAUUUGAAAGUUGCUAAGAGAAUAGAUCCUACAGGUUAUCACAAGGAAAAAAGAUUUGUAACUAUAUGAGGUGAUUCGUGUUAACUAAACUUAUUAUGGUAAUCAUUUCACAAUACAGUUGACCCUUGAACAAUGCAGCAGUAAGGGGUUCUGAGCCUCUGUGCAGUGGAAAAUCCAUGCAUAACUUUACAGUCAGUCCUCCAUAUCUGUGGUUCGACAUCCGAGGAUUCAACCAACCAUAGAUGGGAUAGUACUGUGGUAUGUAUUAUGUUUAGUGAAAGAAAUUUACGGAUAAGUGGACCCAUGCAAUUCAAACGUGUGUUGUUCAAGGGUCAGCUGUAUAUGUAUAUCAACUCAUUGUGCUGUACACCUUAAACUUAUACAGUGCUGUAUUUAAUUAUAUUCAAUGCAACUGGCAAAGUAGAAUGGCAAAAUAAAAUUUGUGUUUAUAGGCAAAAAAAAAAAGAAAUAUACUUAGAUAUUUGUUGCUACUGGGAAAACUGUAAUCCAAACUCAGAUAGAAAUUAUUUUCAUAUAUCCAUACUUCUAGCUCAUCCAUUAACAAUGGAUAAUCACAAAAUUAUAUCAUAAAGUAAGUGCAUUUCAAUAAAUUAGUUUCAAGUCUUACAAAAAAGUAAACAUGAUAUUUUAAUAUUAGAUGGCGUUUCAUUUAUGUAGGAAAAGUUAAAUCAUUUUAUGGAAUCAGUUAACUUGAGCUCUUGAUAUCAUUGUUUAAUGAAGUGAUUCUCAAAUUUUAUUUUGCAUCAGAAUCACUUGGAGGGUUUAAGCCAUAAUUGCUGUGCUUUCUCUCCAUUGUUUCUGAUUCAGUUGCUUUGGUCUGGGGCCCAGGGAUGAACUACGUUUUUAACAAGAACUCAGGUAAUGUUGAAGCUGCUGUUCUGGGAACCAUACUUAAGAACCAACUGGCUUGGUAGAAAAAAUACCCAGGCCAAAUCAGAAGACCUGUGUUCUAGUCUCAGUGCUGAUAUUAGCUAGCUAAGUGGGAUAGUGGUCAUUUUACCUCUGUACACCUUUCUUUGAUAAGAUGGUUAUAUCUGCCCUUUCUAGCUCACAGAUUUCUUAGAAAAAUGAAAAAUAUGAUGAUAUGUUGAAAGUAAUUUGAAAAAGCUGAUUUCAAUAUGAAGUAGCCAAGAUCAUAGUAUUUGAGCUUCCUCAAUAACCAGGAGAAGAUUAUUUUAAAAUCAAGAGCUAUAAAUAUUUAUUUAUCUACCUUUGUAUUAUACUUAAAAUACAUCUACUUUCCAAGUCAGUGGACAGUCUCUAUUCAGUUAAUUUCUGGUUAACUCAUACAUAGAGCUAGAAAGUUUUUCUUUCACCAUUACCAAACUUUUCCAUCCAGUUACUUGAUCUGUUUGGGAUCUUUUAUCUAAAGCCUUCUAUUAGUUUUCAAAUUAGUUUAAGAUGUCAGCCUUGAAGGUGACUUCAGCUACCAGAUUUUUUUGUGUGUGUGAUUAAAAAUCAGAUAGGAAAAUUAGAAUUUAAUAGAUUGGAGUGUUAUUAAUUUCCUGUAUCUCAUUUAGUUUUACUAAAAUCUGCCAGACUCGGUCUCUUAAAUGAAAACAUUCAUUUCGGUACAUAUGGUGAUGAUCCUAAAAAAUAGCUGAGAUUUGAACAGGGUUUUACUGAAAAGGGUGAUUAAUUUUAGCACACUCAUUAUGAAGGUGUCUUAAAGAGUUGUUGUACAUACACUUCACAGCAAUAUGUUUUGUGAUUGCAUUUCCUUACUUUGGGCAGCAGAGCAAUUCACUGAAGUUGCAGUAACAGAUCAUCUCACAUCCCUUCCCAUCCCAGAAGUGAUCCUGGAUGUUUACAUCAAUCUUUGUCAGCACUGUUCACAACAGCCAAGACAUGGGAGCACCCUAAGUGUCCAUCAACAGAGGAAUGGAUAAAGAAGGUGUGGCACAGAUAUACAAUGGAAUAUUACUCAGCCAUAAAAAAGAAUGAAAUAAAGCCGUUUGCAGCAACAUGGAUAGACCUAGGGAUUAUCAUACUAAGUGAGCACGUGGGAUCUUCAUUCCCCGACCAGGGAUUGAACCUGUGCCCCCUGUAUUGGAAGCGCAGAGUCUUAACCACUGGACCAUCAGGGAAGUCUCCGCAGUUGGAUCUUUAUGUUUAGGGUACGGGUAGUUGAGAAAAGGGGAGAUUCUGUUAACUUUCGAAGGUUUGGACCUUUGGAUGGAUGAUGCCGUUACUCAUCUCGGAAAAAGAAUAAAAAAGAAGAGUAGUUUCGGGUGGAGCAGGAGUGGAGAGAGGAGGGUGGUUAGUCUGUGAACGUGGAAUUACUUGAAGGAGCCCUGGGUGUAACUGGGGAUGUUCAGUAGGUGGUUGGCUAAAUGGACUUGGAGCUCAGAAAAGAAAUAUGAGCUAGAAAAUCAGAGUUUAUCCGCUAGUCAACUAACCAUCAACUAAGUAAGUGAUCGAGUUAUUCAACUAAAUAAUAGUUGAAGCCAUGGCUGUCCCAAUUAAAGAAGCUGAGCCUGUACUCUGGGUGCCAGGCAAUUCACACGUCUGAACUCAUUCACUCUUCCUUAUGACCCCAUGAAGUUGGUCCGCGUAUUGGCCCCACUUUAUAAGAGGGGACACGUCAGAGAUGUCAGGGAACCUGCCCAGGAUCACACACACGCAGCCUGCAGCCUGCAGGUUCUGAGUCUAGUGCCCACGCGCUUCCCCACGUGCCGGGAAUGGACUCCGAGCGAGAAGAGAACUGGGCUGAGGUCAGAAUCACAGGGGCCACUGGCGUUAAGGGAUGAGCAGAGAAUGGGAGUGGUAGAAGAAUUCGGAGGGUUGGCAUGGAAGUCAAAGGAAGGCGUUUCCAGAAGGGAGGUGAGUGGAAGGACCUGCUGACAGCUGUUCUAGGGAAGCCAUGUGUACACACCCUGGGAUGGAGGAGCACACAGCCAAGUGAAGACCUGCAAAACCAGACUCAGUCAGCAGCCUGAGAGAGCUCGAAUCUCCAAGCUCCACUUCACUGAGGCUGGAGCAAGUGGCAUGGGAUCCAAGAAACAGGCUUAAAUCCUGGAGUUGCUGAGGAUAGGGUGUGGAGAGAAGCAGCAGCGGUUUCAACCUUCGCAGGCUCCUCCCAGGAGAGAAAGAGGACCUGUUUUAUAAUCCGAGUGACUUGUGCUGAUUGGACCAGCAAGGCUGAAGUGUAAAAUAUCCUGCAUCAGGAAAGCUUCAGCAGUGUAUGCUGGGCUUCCCUGGUGGCUCAGUGGUUAAGAACUCCCCUGCCAAUGCAGGGGACACAGGUCCGAGCUCUGGUCCAGAAAGAUCCCACAUGCCGCGGAGCAACUAAGCCCGUGCGCCACAACGCCUGAGCCUGCACUCUAGAGCCCGCGAGCCACGACUGCUGAGCCCACGUGCCACAACUACUGAAGCCCGUGUGCCUAGAGCCUGUGCUCCGCUACAAGAGAAGCCACCUCAAUGAGAAGCCCGUGCACCACAAUGAAGAGUAACCCCCGCUCGCCGCAACUAGAGAAAAGCCCACGCGCAGCAACAAAAGACCCAACGCGGCCAAAAACAGAUUAAUUUUCAAAAGAAACAGUCUGGAGAAGCAGCAAGAUGGAACAAGACAUUGAGCCCCUAGAUCUUCUUGCCUUGUUCCCCGAAUACUCUCAAUUAUGCCAGUACAGGUAGCCUGUUCUUAUUCCUGUUUCACCGACGGACAAGAUUCAGAAUUCAGUCUUUUGGGAUUUUUUCCACUAAAGGUCUGAGCGAGGAGCAGAGCUGACAUUCUCUGUCCUGGCGGGGCAGCUGGAGGAGACAGAAGGCAGCGGAGCUCCCCUCUGAGACUGGCUUUUGAAGGGCUUUUGAUCAUCUCCACCCCCUGCCAGAGCCAAUCACGGAUGUCAGAGCCCAGGCAGCUGUGGCAGCUCAGUUUCCAUGGCAACACCGCCUCUGUCAGGAAGCUGGGAUUCCCUGAUCCCUGGGCCUUUCCCCCAUCAGCGCUGAGCUUUUCCCAACUGCGGGAUCCUAAGAAUGACCAGGCAUCUGGCUCCUUCAAGAAACAGCCUCAAAUGUCCAUAGAUCCUUCCAGGAGCUUAUCAGGUCCCUGGAAAAGGAAAUAAAGGAAAGAACAUAGUCAGGGUCAGCAGCAAGAAGGAGUCUCAUUUACCUGUAGCCGGGUCAGUUUUCUUGCUUGGUGACUUUGAAAUGAAAUACAGAGCAGAGGAGAGGCUCAGUAUGAAAAACAAACCAACAAGCAAACAAACACCUACCGUUUAUGAAAAGAGUGCAGAAGGGUGUCCCCUCUUCCUGCUGCCUCCUGGCCACCUGUUGCAGCAUUGAGGAAGUCAGGAACUUUCUGCUCACAGCCAGAGGAAAGGACACCAGGUCUGUUAAGAUCAAGAAAAAUAAGGAUCACCUGAAGGUGGGAGUUGGGUGCAGCGGUGCCCUUUACAUGGUGGGUGUCACAGACCAAGGGAAGGCAGAGAAGAGAGGCAGUCCUGACCUAGGUUUGCAGCUGAAGCCACCAGUCCUGCUGAUUUAAGUAUGUUAGAAUUUCAACAGUUCAGACAAGCUAAUUUUUUAAAGGGAUAAAGAGGCUGCUUGUCUUCCAGCUGAGCUGGCCGGUCACCUGUGCCGCCCAGCAUGGCUGAUGUUGGUGGGGACUUAGAGCGGAAGAGCGGGUCCUGGAUGUGAUCCGGAAACUCACCAGGCGUGUGGCUUCGCAGUAGUGGAAUCUGUCGACAUGAACAGUCCUCAGCACGUUGGGUGAUGCGAGUGCACUUUCAUGAUUCCCUCUCAUUUUACCCCCUUGCUGUUUCCACACGCCACAGGAAUCCCUCACUCCCCUCUGAAUUUUGUGCCGCUGGAGAUGGAUGCUCGGACCUCCCACUCAGGCGGGGCAGUCCCAGCGCCACCAACUCACAGGACCUAUUGUUCGUCCAUUCCUUACCCAGUGCUGUCACUGCAGCCCGGUGCUGCAGCCCAGCCGGGAGGGCAGGAAACCAGUCCCCCAACAGCCAUCCAUCACGCUCGUAAACGCUCUGUAUUUUACUAAGUUCCAUCAAAGUUCACGUAUACACCGAAGCAAAACAAUCCUCCUCUAUGCAUUCUUUUUUUCUCAACCUACAUGCAGCCCACAGACGCACAUGAAAUAUUCGCGGGUGUGUGCUGGGAGCGCUUGAAGCCCUGCGCACAUCUGUGCAGUGGUGCGUGUGCGCACUGGGCCGCGUGCCAGGGCGCACAGGACACCUGGUGCCGGGCGGGACCGCCUCCUGCACAGGCUGCACGUGGAGGCCGAGCUGCUUCUAGGCUUGGAUCCUCAUGAAUCACUCUUUGGCACUUUCCUCCCCAGCGUGCCAUGUGUUGGUUUUUUGUUUGUUUGUCUUUUUCCUUUUAAUAACCAUUUCUUUAAAACUGAAGUGUAGUUAAUGUACAAUGUUGUGUUAGUUUCAGGUGUACAGCAAAGUGGUUCAGUGAUACAUAUAUAUGUAUAAUAAUAUAAAUAUAUUACAUAUAUAUAAUUUUUCAGAUUCUUUUCCAUUAUAGCUUAUUGCAAGAUACUGACUGUACUUCCCUGUGCUAUACAGUAGGUCCUUGUUGGUUAUCUGUUCUGUAUAUAGUAGCGGGCACAUCCCAUGUGUUGGUUUUAACUGCCUCACUCAUCUUAGCAUCUCCAAAGGCUGUGUGAUCAGUUGGUGUCCCAGCCUGCUGCUGGCUCUCUUCUGCUCCCACAUUUAUCGCUCAGUAAAUGAUAAGGGAUUCCUUCCGCGAGUCCAGGAAGACACGAAAGGCAGCUGUCUUUUGUGUUAACAUCAACUCCGGCUCUCCUCACCAUCUUCUUUCUACUUGUAGGCCCUCUGCCCACUUACUUUAGAAAAGAAGCAAAUGUUACCUGAGCUUCUCAGACCAUGCAGUCCUGUUCUUGAAUAACAACCUUCCAGUGGUUUACUAUGUAAGAUACCCAGAGCAACACACACACACACACACACACAAUGUGUGUCAAAACCAACAGUUUGGCAUCCUCUCCUUGUUUUUAAUCAAUGGCUGCUUCCCAUCUAGUUUUCACCUUGUGAAACUCAAGAGAAAUCUGAAGUCGUCACCUCAGCUUCAGACUGAGUGUUCUGAGGAGUCCUAGAGGGCAGAUGGGACAGGAAUUUGAAGGCUGUUUCUCCAUAUUCUUGGAUCCUUUCCGUAUGCAUCUUUUAGCCCGAUGCUUGGUGCAUCACAGUGCACAUCUGAAGCAUCAGGUUAGGAAAGUACCAAGAGUGGUAGCUUUGAAGCUAACAAGAAGUACCUGCAGAUUCCUUUCUCGUUCAGCUCGAGGAUUUUCUAAUCUCUUUCAGUGUAAAAAUCCUCUUGACUGGAGUGAGGCUUCUAAUAUUACUUCUUACGAUGAGUGCUUUUCAGACCCCUUUGAAGGCAUCCUAAUAGUCGAGAACAAGAGAGAAUUACCACAGAACAGGAGGGAAAUGAUACAGGACUUGUAUCAACAGGGUUGGACAACAAUGAUGAAAUUCCACAUUUUUAUCUAGAAUCAUCCUGGAAUGAUUAAGGCUGAGAAGACAUGAGGAAGGCCAGGGGACCGUCCCGUUGCAGCCUGUGGUGCCAGCGUCCAGACCAACCUGCACGUGCUGGUCACCUGUCUUUGGAGAGUGAGCCCCCAGAUGCAGGGAGGCUGGAGAGAGCAGCGUCUGUGUCUCGUCUCCAGACAUCUAGGGGAGAAUUCGUGUCCUGGGGUGAUGCUUUUGCCUUGCCUUUAUUGAUGACUUUCUCCUCUGAAUUCUCACAUUACUUUUUUUUUAAUUAAUUUUUAUUGGAGUAUAGUUGCUUUACAAUGUUGUUAGUUUCUGCUGUACAGCAAAGUGAAUGAGCUAUAUGUAUACAUAUAUCCCCUCCUUUUUAGAUUUCCUUCCCAUGUAGGUCACCAUGGAGCAUUGAGUUCCCUGUGCUAUACAGCAGGUUCUCAUUAGUUAUCUGUUUUGUACACAGUAGUGUAUAUAUGUCAUUCCCAAUCUGCUAAUUCAUCCCACCUCCCCUUCCCCCUUGGUGUCCAUACAUUUGUUCUCUACGUCUGUGUCUCUAUUUCUGCUUUAAUCUUCAUGCAUAGUUUAUAUGAUCCGUGCAGUGUGAUGAUACGCCGUUAGCUUUCUCUCUGCGUUUCGAGGACAGAGUUUGUUUUUAGGGCCACACUGACUUGCAACAGUCAUUGUGGGUGAUCUGUCUCCAUCUGUCCCGCCUUAAGCAUUCUCUGCAUGAGAGGUCGGCAAAUAGUUUCUGUAAAAGGCCAGUGUGUUUGGUUUGAAUGUUUGUGUCUCCCCAAAAUUCAGAUGUUGAAACUUGAUGUCCAAGUGAUGGUAUUUGGAGAUGAGAACUCUGGGAGGUGACUGGAUCAUGAGGGCAGAGCCCUCAGAAGGGGCAUUGGGGUCCCCUCAGAGGGCUCCCUUGCCCCUUCUCCACGUGACACACAGCCAAAAGGUGGCCGUCUCUGAACCAGGAUAUGGGCUCUCUCCAGACACUGAAUCUGCCAGCGCCUUGACCUCAGACUCCGCAGCCUCUAGAACUGUGAGAAAGAGAUGUCUGUUGUUUACAAGCCUCCCAGUGUAUGGUCUUAUUGAAACAGCCCAGGGACUUCCCUGGUGGCACAGUGGUUAAGAAUCCGCCUGCCAGUGCAGGGCACACGGGUCCGAUCCCUGCUCUGGGAAGAUCCCACAUGCCACGGAGCAACUAAGCCCGUGCGCCACAACUACUGAGCCUGCACUCUAGAGCCCGCGUGCAGCAGCUACUGAGCCUGUGUGCUACAACUGCUGAAGCCUGCACGCCUAGAGCCUGUGCUCUACAGAAGCCACCACAAUGAGAAGCCCACGCACCGCAACAAAGUGUAGCCCCCGCUCGCCACAACUAGAGAAAGCCUGCGUGCAGCAGCAAAGACCCAGUGCAGCCAAAAAUAAAUUAAAAAAAAAAAAAAAAAAGCAGCCCAAACAAACUAAGACAGCCAGACAGGACACAUUUAGGCUUUGUGAAGCACAUGGUCUCUGUUGUAACAGCUCUGCUCUGCGAGAAAGCAGCCAGACACAAUCAUAUGUAAAUGAGCAAGGCUGUGUUACAAUAAAACUUUAUUGACAAAACAGGCUGAGGGCCAGAAGUGGUCCUUGGCAAUAGUUUGAUGAUUGCUGGUCUAAGUCAAUGCCAGUUAUCCCAUUUCCCUUAUUAGUGAUCAGACCAGGCAGGCAUGUGUGUGUGUGACCUUAUACUGGUCAGGAAACAGGAGGGGACAUCUGGUGCGGGCCUCUGGAAAAGGCUUCCUUGAUCCUAAGACCUUGUCCCUUAUUUCCCUCUGGACCUUGCUGUGUUGGGAGCAGCCAUCAUACUCCCCGGCUGAGGAUGGCCCAACACUGGAAGGAGGACAAGGCUGAGAGGAGCACAAAGAGGAGAGAGACCCUGACAUUCUCACCCAAGCCCGCUCUGCUCUGGUCUCCAAACUAUGCAGCUUAAUCGAUGUCCUUCUUGGCUAAGCCAGUUAGCCUUUUUGUUUGCAAGAAAGCAUAUUAAUUGAUAGAGCUCUACCCCUGAAAUGUUUAAAAUGAUGUUAAAUUCAUGUAAAUCGAAUCUGGCUUCUCCUUGCGGAAAAAUUAUAUACUUCAUACUACAUUUCUGAUAAAGAGCCCAGUGUCCAACUUUUUACAAAAAUGAUAAAAAAAUGCCAUGUUGAGUCAAACAUGCAUGGCGUGUUUCUAGAAAGUUGCUUUUACAGUGCAUAUAACUGAUGACUAGGACAGAAUACAGUGAGUCGCUUCAGAUUCAAAUUCUCAUGAGUGUGUAUCACAUGAAGUUCUCGUCUUACAUCUUCAUAAUUCCUACGUCUUAGUGCAGGAAAUAUAGUAAACACUCACUCAGGUCACAGAAUCGACUGGAAUUUUUAGGGAACAUUUCACAAGACUCUUUGAGGAGAAUUUUAAGGAUAUUUGGUCCACAUGAUAAAUUUAAAGAAUGUAAAGGGGUCCAGGACCACUGACUUGGAAAUAUACUUCAUGAAACAUGAAAAUAUGGGAAAUACAAUGUCGGGGGUAAAAAGCAGAACACUGAAGUGGACACGCAAGGACUCCAACUAUGUAAAAAAUAUAUGUGCACAGAAAAGGAAUAGGAUGAAACUAUAAAAUAAUAAUUUAGGUGAUUUCAAGUUUUGUUUUCAUAAAAUUUCCAAGUUUUCUACAAUAAAAGAGUUUUGCUUCUGUAAUCGGGAAGAAUAAAAUUUCAGUACCGACCACAGAGCACACAUUUGCCUUAUGACAGCGGCUGCCACCAAAAGAACAUCAUUCAUUUUAUAAGUUGUGUAUAAAGAUUUAAUAUGCCUGACUAUAAGACAGUGAGAUUUUUAAAUAAAGGAACUCCAAAAUCAAAUGAAUAUUUCUUCCUGGUAUUUCCUUUAGGAGACGAUAUGCUUAUUCAAAUGACGUUUUUUGGAGCUCCUAUGGAAGAACUGUCUGUGAAGAGUCAGCCACGGAAGAAAUGGAUCUCCUGUCUCUAUCAAGGCAUAGCAUUCUCUCUCCUCCCUCCUCAGCCAGCUUCAGCUAAUGGUUUGUGUGCUUGUUGACACUGACCUUCAGCGCCAUUGGGAAGGGCUGUGGGGUCAUGUGCGCCCUCAGUCUCCAUGUAAAAGCAGGUCUCUUUGUGACUCUGCGGAGUCAUCUAGCUGGGGACUGGAUUGUCUGUGUUGACAUCACUCAGCUAAAGAGAAGCUGAGAGUUAUCAGCUUGUUUAGACUCAUAGAUGAUUCAGUUUUCCCAAAUAGCCUAAAACUCGGUCACUUACUGGGGUGACAAACUCUGCCCAGUUUGCCAAGGAUAUUUCUCAUUUUAGCACCAAAACUCGUUCAUCUCAGGAACCCCCUCAGAUGCAGGCUGACUGAGGUGGUUGGUCACUCUAUCCACUGGUGACCCAGCUUUAUAAUGAUGCAACUUCCCUUCGUUUUAGUCUGACCUGGCUUCUCCAGCCAAGCCAUUCACCCAAGGCUGGAUGGAGGCGUCCAGUGGCCCAGCCAUCUGACCUCUGCUGUGUGUUGUUGUCCUGCAGAUGAACAAGCCAGAACAAAGGGAUGAACUGCAAAGAGACAGGGCCCUACACAUAUAAUCUGGUUAUAAUUUUCCUGGGAGAGUUUGGGUUCCUGGCUUAUCCAUCCAUUCCUUAGUUAUGAAUGUAUGUAUGUAUGUAUAUAUUUAUGGCUGCAUUGGGUUCCUGGCGUAUCUGUCCACUCCUUAUUUAUUCAUUUAUUUGUUGAUUUAUUUAUUUUUGGCUGCCUUGGGACUUCGUUGCUGCGUGCGGGCUUUCUUUAUCUGUAGUGAGCGGGGGCUACUCAUCAUUGCAGUGCACGGGCUUCUCAUUGCGGUGGCUUCUCUUGUUGUGGAGCAUGGACUCCAGGCAUGCAGACUUCAGUAGCUGUGGCACACGGGCUUAGUUGCUCCACGGCAUGUGGGAUCUUCCCCAACUGGGGCUCAAACCCACGUCCCUGGCAUUGGCAGGUGGAUUCUUAACCACUGCGCCACCAGGGAAGCCCCCGUCCACUCCUCGUAAAGAACAACUGCCUCUCAGGUUGGCUCAUCACUUCUGUUUUGCCUGCGACAUACAGAAAGGCAAACCAACCAGCCCAGCAUGACCCUGCUCAGAACAAGGUUUUCUGCCAGGUUUUCACAUGCUGGAAAACUUGUGCCCCUCGGAAAGAAACCCCAGCAAAAUGAAGCCUAAUUUUUAUUUAUUUUUGCAUUCAGAGAGGAAUGGCGAUGUCGUCCAUGUCCUAGACACAUCUUAAUUUGUGGUUUUUUUCUUAUUUGACUCUCUUAAUAGGAGGAAAGUAUGCCAGGGCUGAUUUAUGGAUCUCCAGUGGUGCCAGGCAUCAUUUCACAUGUGCACAGCUGCUCCACAGUAGUUUAACUUGGCGGAUAGUAUUAAACCCUGGAAUUGUGUCAUCUAUUUGUACACGCGUACAAUAGCCUCCUUGUGCAGGUUCUUCAAGAAUCCUUGCAGGCAUGGUUGAGACUGGGCGUUUACGGAGUCUCACAGAGUGAUUUAUUCUGUUGGAAGGCUUUCAGCGUUUCAGAAUGAAGGAUGAGAUAGCAUUUUGUGCCAUCGAUUAAGUUCCCUGGGGAAUUAGAGUUGGGCUAACGUGGAGACGCCUCAAGCCCACAGUGGGAACUCCCGUUUCAGUGGUCAUCCAGGCGAUGUGGGACAUGUGACUGCUGACAGCAGGCUGGCUUUCAUUCUGACAUGUCGCAGGGAAGCAGCUAAAAGUGGGGGGUGGGGUAAUCUAAUGCAAGUCGCCGCAGGCGUAAAUAACUUGAGAAGCUCUGUUGACAGCAGAAAGUCCGGCCUCCGCAGUAGUUAACAAGGCUAUCUUCAAAUUCAAAGGGCCCUGACAUCUGUCACAGUUGUCCUUUGUAGUCAAGGGUGCUACUGCGGACACCGUGUUUAUCCCUGCAGCCGAGUGUGGCUGAAAAUACCCGUGUGUGACAGGUGAUAAGGCCUUUCUGUGGAGGGGGACAGGGCGGACGUGAGAGCCUGGCUAGGGUUUGUGUGCGGGCCUCCCAGCACACAGCUUGGCAUGUCACAGAGCAUCUUGUCUCCAUCUGCAGCGACCUGGCCGCUCUGGCCUCGGCCCCUCGGCUCCAGUGGCCCACAAGUGUCUCUGUUCUUGAGCGGCUUUCCCUGGGUCUUGCUUGCUGUCUCCCUUGCCCGCACAGGGCAGGUAGGCUGGUGCCAGACUCCUUCCUACACCCCGGCUCAGGGGAGAAGGCCUUUGAGGUGGGCUGGGUCCCUCGACACUUUUGUCGAUGGGUGAUUUUAUUUUGCUACUUCAGCACUGAGUGUUUUCAACUGGAAAGACCUUUGAGGCUGAAAGGACUUUCCCCCCUUUCUCGGUGUCACCUGUCUUAGGACAGGGAAAGGCAGAGGCAGUGCUUUGGGCUCAGGUGUGCCUCUCCAUCGGUGGACUAGGUGGACACUUACACAGCUUGUUGCCUUAAAAAAUGCUACCUCACCAGCCUAUUCUCAAAAUCCUUUUUUAAGGCUAGAAAUUCCUAAAGGCUCAUCUUGGAAGUCUAAUAGUGGGUUCACAAGCCAGCGACAGGGCUCAGAAAGCCUUCCUGCUUGGGUGUCUUGCUGGGGGCAGCAGUUAAGUUCAGGCCCAGGUGGCGCUGGUGGCCUCAGCCCAUGGCCAGCACUGCGUGACUGCUUAUUACGUCGCCUCUUUGGCAAAGAAAAAUCUUUUUACCCGUGGGUUCAAGAUGGAGCUUAGGAAAGAGAAUAAAAGGGCUUCUUGGUGAUGCCUUAGCCUUAAAAUUUCCUAUGGGAGGAACUGCUAAUUGUCUUGAACAGGGAAACCCCAAGAAUCUUACGAGCUCCUUAACCACUGAGUGAAUCGCCUUAUCAGACCUUCUUCUAGAAGAGUCUGGUGCAUAAGGAAGUUGUGAUGAGGAUGACUGAGAGAUGAGAGUGUGGUGCCUGAGACCAACCCUGGGCACUGGACUUCCCCGGGAGGGAAAGAUGACCUGAGCCUCCAUGAGCAGCUAAGGGACACUGGUGUCCAAGAACGGACAUCUUCUCGGGAGGGAGAGGGGGUCUGGAAUUGGGAGGCAGGGGAACUGAGCACAGCCUUUGUCUGCUUCACAGUUCUGCCCCUUUGGUUUGAGGUCAUCCAGUAGAGUUCCAUCCCACACAAGUCUUGAAGUUGUUUCUCCAAGGAACAUCUCUGAAUCAGCUUUCAUCUCUUCUUGACUCUCUAAGGACGCUGGGAGGGAGGCCCAGUGUCCCCAAGGCUUCGGCGCAUGUAGCAAUGGUCUCUGAUCCUGUAGAUAUUGUUUUUUUGUUUAUUUGUUUGUUUUUUGAGAAACUAGGAGGAAUGGGAUUGAAAGUAACAAGCAUCUAGUAUGUUCUGUCAUUCCCAUUUUAUAGAUGAGGAAACUGAAGUUCAGUUAUGGGACCAGGAUUACGUGAAAGCGAAUAGCAAAGCUGGGAUCUAAACGUAGGCCACCUACCAGAGGUGAGCAGGUUGACAAGUUAGCCCAACUCAGAGAGCCCCCUGCAUCUGACUUCUGUGCUCCAUCUCAGAACUGUGGGCUUCUCUCUACAGUCCUGACUGAGAACUUCACCAGGAAGACAGCAGGUUCUCCUCAUGGUGUUUGAGAAACCACUGACUAAAGAAUGAGCCUCGCCUGUAUCCCUGAUGAUCUUUUAAAAUAGUGAAUAGUAACACUGCUAUAAUGGUGAACAUAGAAAUGCCACCAUCUGCCCUUGGUCUUUCAGAAGGUACCAGGCAAAUCUUGCUGUUCUGAGACCGAUAUCUAAAUUCUUUUAAUUAACUCAUUUAUUGACCAGGGGAUUUUUUCAGAAUCUAACGCCUGUGGCUGGUGAUUUGUUAUGUAAAUCAAUAUUGAAACAUCUCUGGUCAAUAACGUUUGGGUAACAAAAGACAUAUUAAUAAGUCUCUGGUCAAUAUUAAUAAACCUUAUUUGGUUUGAUGAGUUAAAGCAAUACCCUUAGCCUCCACUGUGUAUGUUGGAAAGAGGGCAGAAGGAAACAGUUUCUCUGAGAUAACUCUCCAAAGAAGAUCCUAAUAGGUUUGGGUUGAUAGACAUCCAAGAAGUUACAGAUGAUAGGAGUUGACACCCUUCCAAAAUUAAUAUAUGCCCAGUAGGCUAAGUCCAUGGUUUCCUUCCUUUUCCAUUGGAUUUCUAAAUGUCAGAAGUCCCCAUCUUCAUGGUCUGUGACGUGAUGGGGCCCUUCUAGUUACAGAGCUCUUCCUCAUGAAUUGCUCUGUGAAACCUCAAAGACUGCUUCAUUCCUUUUCUGUCAGGUGAGGACACAGAGACCGAACGCCCAUGCAUUCCUGACGGCAGCACAACUGGUACACCACGGAGCUGGGGCGAGAAUCGAGACCAUGAGUGCUUUUAGCAUUGCCCCGCCGUGUUCCCUCUCCACAUUCCACAGAAGGGUUUAUUAAGGAUCGCAUUUUGCAUAAGGCAGCCGAUGGUAGCAAUGGUCACCAGAAGCCAAGGUCCCAGGCUGUGGAGCUGGUAGGGCUGGGGCGUCUCUUGCCUUGGCUUGGGGUUGGCCCAAGGGAUUAAAAUCACUAGGGUACAAGAGGAAGGAUGCCAAGGUUGGAAGCCAGGCCCAGCCUGAAUUGGGCUGUGCUGGCGGCAUGCGAAGUUACGAAGCAUUUUCAAAGUACCUAUGACAUUUUAUUUUAGGUAGUAAAAUCUUUACGUUCAAGCUGUUAGAAAAUAUUUGAAACAAGCCAUUCCUAAAUAUGUUUAUGUAAGUAUUCCUAAGACACACUACACACAUGUGUGAGUCAGACUAAGUUCUUCAUAAAAUAGAAUUGAAUUCAGUUGUUUAAAAUGGGUUUGCUGUUGGGUUGCAUGGAGACAUGUACGUGGUUUGAUCGUAGCCCUCACUUUUCAAUGUUUUGAGUGUCAAAAGGACAUAGGAUGGCACCUUUCUUAGGAAGUGUGAUUUAUAAUAUACUCCACACUCAGUGAAAAUUGAGUUUGUGUAGUAGUUAGGAUUAGGUUGCUAGAAGAUCCAAAAUAACAGUGGCUUAAAGAAAAUAGAAGUUUCUUUUUCUCUCAUGAAUGAAGUCAGGAGUCAGUUCACGGAUGGUUUGGUGGCUUCAUGGUAUCAGGGGCUCAUGCUCCUCCUGUCUUGUUACUCACUAUGCAUGAAUUCUAUUUCCAAAUUCACCUCAUGGGCCAACAUGGCUGCUGGAGUGCCAGCAAUUAUAUUUGCAAUCCAGGCAGUAGGAAGAAAAAAGGAGUGAAAAUGAGGGCACGCUCUCUUCCACUUCCACUGUGUCUCCUCGGCUAGAACUCUGUGAUACGCCAGAUCUGGCUAUAAAGCAGACUGAGAAAUGUAUGAUUUUAGCUAGCCAUGAUGUUCUCAGCUAAAACAAUAAUUAGGAUUAUUUUUACAAGGAAAAAAAAGGAAGAAUGAAUAUUGAGUGGCAAUUAGGAAUCUCUGCCACAGCUUGGUUAUGGAACCUAUUCCCUUCAUCUUAUUCCCUAGGCUCCCCACACUUGCUCCUUGCCCAUCCCCUCUUGCACAUGUGCAAUUAAAAAACGACCCUAUUGCUUGAGAGACCCAGAGCCAUGCAGAACAGAAAAGAUCAUUAUGGGUGGAAACUGAGUCAAACUAGGGAGCUUCUUGCUAUGAUUAUUUGCCUUUAUUAUCAAUAUCAUUUAUUUCAUCAUCAAAAAACCUUACUGUGCACUAGAAUGUGUAGGGGAAAACAUCAGAGGUGUUAGGAAAUAUAAUACAGGAUUCCUGUCUCCACCCUUGACUUUCUUAUUUGGGGGAGAUGAGACUCCCAGAGUAAGGUCCUGUCAAGAGCUGUGAAAGGGCUGAGAUUUUCCCCCACUUGUAAGUGAGGAGCUAGCCCACCAGUGUCCUGGGUGCUGGCAGGAGACACAGGACCCUGGGUCAGAGAUAAAGGACUUAAAUUAUAUCAGUAGUCUGGGUGCCAGUCUUUUCUUGUGCUAGUUCCCCAGUUCCUGCAGGGUGACUCAGGUGGCCACAUGGUGACUGCAUGGCAGCGGGUGGCAUUACAGGAGAGGAACCUGGAGCCCAAGGCAGGCAAGGCUUGUACGAUGGGAAGCACGGCUGCCACCCCUUCUCCAGAGGGAACCUCCAUCUCCGAGGUUCCAGGCUGUCCACCGUGUAAGUAUGCUUGUAAAGACGGUCCAUCCAGAACAGAGGUGUCAGCGUCUCCGCCUGCAAGAUGUCAGACACAGGAGAGGCCCUUGGAGAACUGUCUCCCGCCCGACAUGACACAGCGCACGCCAAGCGCGGCACCAGGACAGAAGCACCCUGGUCCCCUGUGAGUGAGCAGAGCGCGCUGGGGGCUGCGCAAUCAGGGGCCUGGAAGGGAGGGCGAGGCUGGACCAAGAGCGGGGAGAGGGCUCCACCCCCUGUGCAGGUGCGCAGACAUGGUACGAGGCGUUCGUAGACCUACCGAAGAGCAGUUUGGUGGAAGGGAGAGUGUUAUAGGAAAGCCGUGGGGUCUGGACGUCCCGGGAGGGCAUGGGAUGCCUGAGGAACUUCCCGCAGCGAGGAGGAGGGUCGGUAAUGGUGCCGCCAGCGACAUGGCUGGGGAUGGCCAGAGCGGAGGAGACGGGAGGUGAGGCAGGGACGGGUCUGGGCAUCAAGUGCUGGGUACGUGAGCGCUUCCCACAUGGCAGGGCAGCGCACCCGUAUUUAUUGUUUCGCUUCCUUUACUAUGCAGCAGGCAGGAAAGCUUGCAGGGAACUUCAUGUCUGUAAGGAUGAAGGGGUAGCACCAUUGAUAGACCCGUUACCUCAAGUGGCAUUUCCUAAAUUUCUCACGAGGGCAUCACCCAGGUGUUCAGUGCUGGAUCCUCUCAUGUAUUUUAGGAUCAGGCCCUUCCCUGCAGGUAUCAGUGUCAGGUUCUAAAGGACCCCAGGGGCCCUUACUGCCCAGGAUAAGGGAGGGCUUUGGUGUGGGGUGGAUAGAUAGAAAUACCUGUGUCGUACCUGGGUGACCAGUCAUGAUAGCAGCUCUGAAAGUGAGAAAACUAGUGUAAAGGACACAUCCGCAGGGAAACCCGGAUACUAACAGGCAAAUGGCUUCAACAGAGGAGCCCCUGACAAAGAAGAUGCUGGACAUCCCUGUCCUUAACCCUCAGACUGGAGACGGAAAUUCUACGUGUCCUCGAGUGGCUUCCUACUCUUCUCACAGAACAGUCUUGGCUCCUUGACCUGGUGUGAGAAGCAGCAGAUGCCCCCUGGCCCCCGCACCUCCACAGUGAGUGAAGUGCCCCCGACUCGGCUUCCGCCAUCCAUCAUGGAAGGCUUUGGCAGACUGCUGUGGAAACCAACUCCUAAAUAUUUUAAGCAGAGACCAUGGCUGACAGGAGUCAAACUUUCUGUAUUAAUGGAGGAUUAAAACCUCAGCUGUUUCCAGUAAUUUAUUAUGCACCCGCUUAUAAACACAUUGCACUGGUCAUGGAAUGUAUACGUGUAGCAGGCCCUCCAGAGACGGAUGAAGAACACUUCAAGGGCACCCAGGUUCCAGCAUGGAAGCACAAUCACAGUUGGCAACCUUUGCACAGGAAGUCCCCUGACCGUUGGUGACCUGUGUCCUGUGGCCACUGUCUGGGAACCACUGCACGUGGCAAAGGAGCAAGACCCUCUGGCCUUACUCAGACCCAUCAUUACACUGUCCCCAGAAGUGACCCAUGUCAGCCUUCAAGGGCUCAUGUUGCGAAAGGCAAUCAUCUGUCUCGUGAGAAAAGCCAUCGAAGUGCCAAAUUAUUGAUGGACAAUCACCACACCCAGUGUGCUGUGUCUGACUGUGGGCACCACACCUCAGGGGCAGCAUUAGCCCCAAACGUGACACAUGCAGGGCAGAAGCGUUCAGACCAGAAGGGGACACAAACCAUGCGAUGCUGGGACAAAGGAACAGGAUUCACAUGGAUAGAAGGGGUGGGGGGGGGGCACGCUUGCUGUCCGAAUGCUCUGGAGGUUGUGGAGAGGAAGGUUUUCCCAGGGUGGGGGCGGAAACCAAUGGUAAAGGCUGGUUGCUGUGAAAACAGAUUUAUGCUAAAAACCCAGGGGUGUGGGCGGAGUACUUCCUAACAGAGUUUGUGAGAACGGGCCGAGCUCUCUGUCACUGGAGAUGCUCAGUCCUUGGCUGCAUGGCCAUGCUGGAAGAAACACUGCAGAAAAACUCCAGCGUCGGAUCACUGAAGGAAGGGACUAAGUUUCCCCCGCAGGACCUUGUGAUGCCAUGCAUGGGGGACUUGAAUCUGAAGUUGGGGUGUGUGUGGUCUUGUAAUAGGGAAGAAUAAAUCUGACUCCAUAUUGGAUCUAUUUCUUUAGCUCCAACCUUUGUGCCCUGUUGCCUCUGCUUAAGUCAUGCUGGCUCUGCACCUUUUGUAAAAGAAUGUUGCCUAUGGCUUGAAAUAUACAGGAUAGCCUGACCUUGACCUGACCUGAACACAGAAUAACAGAAACCUGGCCUACAGGGACAGCUACAAGAACAAAGGAUCUGACACCAAGAAGUUCGCAACAAUUCACACACCUCCUCACCUUGCCUUUAAAAAGGGCUUUGCUGAAAGCUUUUCGGAGUUUGGCCUUUUUAAGGCAUGAGCCACCUGUCUCCUUGCCUGGCCCCACAAUUAACCUCUCUGCUUCAAACUCUAAUGUUUCAGUAUUGUUCGGUCUCACUGUGUUAUUAGGCACAGACUUGCGUUCAGUAACAAUUAUGGUGAGCCAGCCAGGAAUCUGUGCCUGUGGUGGGUGGACCCCGGCCAGGGACAGCCCCUUCCCAAGUUCCCAGCAGCUGCUGGAGCUCAUUUUGCAUCCAGGAACUGUGAGGGACUCUCCCUGAGAGGCGUCAGCUGCCCCAGUGCACAAGGUCAUUUGGAGCAGAGAAACGUCCAGAGCUGUGGUCCACAUUUGGUGUCACUUGGGGGUAAGUCGCUCCAUCUUGCACAGGCUGGGAAUUCUCUCCACUCCAUUUGGGUUACUUCCCUUGUAGGAAGUGAGACACUCUGGGUCUGUUCUCUUUUGAGAGCUAAGCCAGUCUGUUUGGAGACCUCCAUCUGGGAGUAGAAAUGGAAUUUUAGACUACACCUCCACUGAUUUCUGUGUGACUGUAGUUUGUGUUUUUUUGUGUGUGUAUUGUUUUGGGGUAAGCCACUCCAGCUUGUGCCUUUGUUAGUGGGACCAUUCGUUUCUUGUUUGUAUGUGUGUGUAUCAGUAUGCACUGGUCAGUUGAGACGUCUUCGGUAACAGGGCUUGCGUGUGACGGCACCAGGGUGUCCUUCCCUAUUGUGUUGGGUUUUGCCUGUGGUCGAGCAUUGGUUGGGAUUUUCCUUUUGCAAUGAAUGGGUAUCUCCCUUUUUGGCACUGGGGAACUGUGAUCCUGAAAGACCAUUUUGCAUUGCAUUUGUUUGCUUUAUUAAUAUUAGAUAACACCAGCCAUGAAUAAUUAAGUAUGGAUAAUCAGAGCUCUGUUCCAUCUUGUAGUCCCCCUAGCAUGUAUUUUGCAAACUGGGAGAUCUUCAGUAUGCUCCUAGAAAGGGAGAGAAAGAAGAUUUUUUUUAAACAUUUCACCACCACUACAUUCUUUAGACUCUGGACUAAAUUAAUUAAGAUGAAACUCUCUUAAAAUUCCAAAACUGGUUCUUUUUGCAUAUGCAGUUAAGAGAAAGCUGGCUUGAUAAAAUACCUUUUUUUCAGAAUUCUGACCCCAAGAGAACGAAAAUAUUCUGAGGAGCAAGCUUGAAGGUAACUAAGUAAGUUCAACCUAUUCCAACUGUUAUUUUUGGUUUGCAUUUGCCAGGUGAAUUGCCAUGACACGUGUGGUAAUGAUUCCUUAUCUUUACAUUUGCAUGUUGUUCGCUGUUAAAAAGUAGGAUCCUUGUUUGAAAAAGUUGAGGAAAUUGUUGGACUUCACCCUUUUGUUUUUGUUCUGCAGGAAUUAGAUUUUGUUCUGUGUGUAUGUUUACAUUUGUCUUGCAUAUAAGUUUGCUGGCUGUGAGAUCUAUCUGGAUAUAUGUGUUUCAUUAUGAUUAGGUGUCUUUGUCUUUGGAUAGUAUUGCUGAGGUUAACUUGUAAAUGAGCUCUAUUUAAUAGACUUAAAAGUAAAUGCUUACAAAUUAAAUACUUAACUACUAUUUAGAAAACAGGCCAAAAUGAACUUCAGGUCCUCAUGAUCUGGGAAAUAUUCAGUAUGGAAUUGAUAUCUGGUAUUGAAGCUAGCUUAAGCUUGUUGGUUUGACUAAUACAGACAUGUCUUUUAGAAAAUUCAAACUAUUUAGGAUAAACCUUAUAACCUUAUAACCAGCAAUAGAAAUUUCUAGUAAGAGUUUCCAAAAAGUAAGUAUAAAUUGUGAGAGAUGCCUUUAACAUUACUUACUUAGGAUGCUUUUAAAUGCUUGUAAUAGAAAACACAAUUACGACUAAUUCCUAAUGGUUCCAGCAUAGAUUCAGUCAGUGAAUCAGUGACAUCAAGGAUCCAGGUUCUUGCCAUAUUUUCCUCUGCCAUUUUUACAUGUCAGUUUUGUCCUUGGAUUUGUUCCCUCAUGAUCCUAAGACAGCUUCCACGGCACCAGUCCUCAUCCAACAAUGACCAGAUUCAGGAAAGUAUGAACCUUUUGUCCCUUUCAAGAGCAAAGGAAACCCAAAAGUUCCCUUAUUUGCCUUCACAGUUCUUAAGCAAGGUUGCACCUGUAUUAAAUCAAAUAUUGCCAAGAAGAAAAGGAAUUACACCAGGAUUGCUUUAACCUAAUCCUCAUUCACCCACUGGGGCUAAGGAGGGACCAAUGAAAAUCAUGGGCCUAAUAACUGAACAGUAUUGGGGUUCUCUUGGCAAGGAAGUAUGAAGGCAAUUGUUGGUGUGGUCAAUACAGACAUGUCUUUUAUUGUGCCUGGGUUUACUGAGGGUGAAUGGGUUUAUGUUGUUUCUGUUGCAGUUUGUCAACAGAAAAAAAAAUUAGCUUGGUAUGAUGAAAUUCUUAUAAAUAAAUUAGAUGCAAAUAGGAUGAGAGCUUUUGGGUGACCUCUUUAGAAAUGGCUAUGAUUUGGGAAUGUCUGCUUAAGGGUGGUCCCUCCAGAUAUUUGGUAACUUAAAUUUUAGAGUUGUGCUAGUUUGGGUUGGAUGAUGGGGGAUACUGAAUAGCUAGGUCAUUCCCAGGCAGGGUACUGAAACAUUAAGUACUGAAUAUAGAAGCUAAAGGUGUCUGGGACUAUGUUUGGUGCCACACUAUUUUCUAUAAAAAGCAGAUGUUUUAAAAAAUUAUUAUUGGGCUUCCCUGGUGGCCAGUGGUUGAGAGUCCGCCUGCUGAUGCAGGGGACACGGGUUCGUGCCCUGGUCCGGGGAGAUCCCACGUGCCGCGGAGUGGCUGGGCCCAUGAGCCAUGGCCGCUGAGCCUGCGCGUCUGGAGCCUGUGCUCCGCAACGGGAGAGGCCACAACAGUGAGAGGCCCGCGUACCGCAAAAAAAAAAAAAAAUUAUUGUUGUUUGCCAACCUACAGAAUGCUAAAGGACAGUUAAUAAUUGAUCGCUUCUUGGAUUUCACUAGAAAUUAAGGGUUUUUUAGAGCUUUGGAUUCAAAUUUAAGUAUGUAAUUAAAGCUACUAAAAUAAUAAAGGAAACAUUUCAGUAUACAGCAGGAAAGUAGGAUAUAUGUUUUUUUUAAAGGGAGUUUUACACAUGGUUGGGCUGAGAUUAGGUUAAACUUAAGUAAAUGGAUUUUGUUAUUAAAAAUAGGCUGGUGCAAGACUCGAUUUGGUCCCUCUCUACUAAGGGAACAAGUUUACUUAGAAUGCUUUUUUUUAAUUUUUAAUUUUUAUUUAUUUUUGGCCGUGUUGGGUCUUAAUUGCUGCGCGUGGGCUUUUCUCUAGUUGCGGUGAGCAGGGGCUACUCUUCAUUUGGUGCUGUGGCUUCUCUUAUCGCGGAGCCUGGGCUCUAGAGCACAGGCUCAGUAGUUGUGGUGCAUGGGCCCAGUUACUCCAUGGCAUGUGGGAUCCUCCCGGACCAGGGCUCGAACCCGUGUCCCCUGCAUUGGCAGGCGGAUUCCCAACCACUGUGCCACCAGGGAAGCCCCUAGAAUGCUGCUUUUGAUAACAGAUUAUGUGAACUUCCUUGCCUGUAAGUGAUCUAUAUUUGCUUCUGAGAUCUCUUCUCACUUUGGUUAAGAAACAAGUAUUGUCUUACAGUGACCUGUGAUCUUAUUUGACCAAGUGUUUUGAAACUUUUUGACAAACUUCCCAAAUACCAAAUUUUAAUUAAAAUUCUUUUGCCCUCCAGCUAACUUCGGGAUGCUUUAGCGGGCCCUUGAUGCAUCUUAGAGAGCAUAUUUAACUCGUAUUAUUUGGUAUGUUGAAGUACAUGGGAAGCAUCGUCAAGUGGGUGAUAAGCCUCCUCAGAUUAUACAGUACAGAUAAAUGUUAUUAUAAUAUAUUCUAGAAAUUAUGUAAAGUUUCUGAAAUGUAGAUAUGUCCUGGUAUAAUGCUUUCAGUCAUAAUUCUGGUUAUCUUAAAAUGUUGUAUAUCGCAGCAACUUGACUAAGCUUUUUUGUUAACACACUGUAAUCAGAUCUUUAACCUUGCCUUUUAAGUCUUUGAUAGACAGUUAAGCUGAUGCUUUGCAAACUUGCUUCAUCUUCAAGAAGAUUCAUAGGAAGGACUAAUAAAUUUUAGAUAAUACUUUUUUUUCUUUUUUUUUUUUGCUGCACGACAUGGCAAAAUUAAGUCGCAAUCUUAAUUCCCCGACCGGGGAUUGAACCCAUGCCCCCUGCAGUGGAAGUGCAGAGUCUUAACCACUGGAUCGCCAGGGAAGUCCCUCAGAUUAUACUGCUGAACUGGGUAAGAAAGACAUUUAAAACCCUAAUGGAAAUCCUGAUGGCUUCAUAAAACGUUAACAAAAGGAUUGGUUACUAAGUGAACUGGUAAAUACAGUUAUAAUGUUUAUGGGUUUUGUCUGGAAUAUUACUGAUUCUGAUUUGUGUUUUCCAGAUAUAGGGAAGCACUUCCCCUCAAGUUACUCGUGACUUACAGAAAUUUGGUAAAUUAUACCUUACUGAGUAAAACUGAAAUAUUUUUCUUUUCUCUCUGGCUGGUCCCUCCAGAAACUGGAGAUCCAUGGGUUCUGAGCAGCCUUAUCAGGUGAAUGGGCAAGACUGUCUCCUGGCAUGUACAGGAAUCUUGGUAUUUUGGGGACCAAGAAUGCCACCGAGGCAGAAUCUGAUGGCAGGCCUUUGGCAUGGAUUUCCUGGCCUUGAGAGGCCUUUGGGAAUUCAGUCUAAGACUCCUGAGGAGUUCCACCACAGCCAGUUUGGGAAAGCCUAUGUAGUCAGUUGACCAGACUUAAUUUACGUGUUUGUGGAGAACGCUGCCUGCUUAUAAGUCUACUGCUAAAAGCACAUGUACAAUGCUUGUGUGGCAAUUGGGUAUAAGUGAUAAAAUGUAUGGCCUAUAAAGUGUAUACCAUUAACAUACCUCUGAGCCUGUUCACAAUAUUUGAUCAGUUUUCCCCCAUCAUGAGUAUCUAGGCAAAUAUAAAGGAGGUCUAGCACCAAAGGACAUGAUCUAGACCUGGGGCAAGAAGCUAAAUCACCCUGGCAUCAAGGGACAUGUUUUGGUCUGUUGAAGAAUUUGCAGUUAACAAGGGAGAUGAUGGGAAAUCUGUACAUAUUUUGAGGUCUGGGGAAGUCAUUCUAGCUGAUACAUGAUUUAACUUAAACUUUAUUGACCAGAGCAGCCUGUUGUUUUGUGGCCUUUCGGACAUGCAUUGUACAUCUGCCUUGGCCAUUGAGGAGUGGAAUACAUUUGAAAGUCGAAACUGGAGUAGAUGUGGUUCAGACAUUCAAGGUAAAACUAGUGGCUAUUGUGCAUGUGAUUUCAGGCACAUUCCUAUAUUGCUGAAAACUUGAAUUUUCUGAGCUCUGUCAUACUUGGGAUGCCACCAGCCAUUCUCAAAGUAGUGUCUGCUGGCAGAUGGCAGCUGCAACUAUAUGACCUCAAGAUCUCUUGUAACUAUUACAUUUUUAGACAAUAAAAUUGUUUUAGUCAGAUGUCAGCAGAAAAAGGAGACAUGCAGUGGUCAAAUUGCCCCUGUUAUAUAUAUGUUAACUCCACAUCAGAAGUUAAAACCUACUUAGAUAAAAGUACACAACUGGCUACCUAGCUACAAGUUUCCCCCAAAGUGCCAGGUCCAGACUGGUUUUCAGGCUUAUACUCCUGAAUUCCUCAGGGAAUGAGAUUUUUAUUAUACAAGACUCAGAUCCAGGACUUUGAACUCAAGAAUAUUUCCAGCUCUGUGUCCAUUCCCCAAAUCAAGGUAGGACUAUGUCCCAUUUCAGGAGGAAGUAGCCAGAGUGGUAAUCACCCCAUUCCCUGAAAGAAUUGGGGAAAGAUGAAACAGGAUUGGAGUUGGAAACCAAAUCACUGUGAAAUGGAGUUCCUCUGCUGAGUUUAUGAUUAACUUCUCUAUCCAAAACACCAUUCCCCUCUUGUUGUCCAACACCUUCUCCUCAAGAUUGAGGAGUAUCAAAGAAAGAAAAGGGAAGAAUUGUAAUAUGGAGGAACAAAUCUGACUCCAUAUUAGAUCUGCUCCUUUUACUUUAACCUUAUUUAACCUUUGUGUUCUAUUGCCUGUGCUUAGUCAUGCUGGCUCUGCAUCUUUUGUAAAAGAAUGCUGGCUAUAGCCUGAAAUAUACAGGAUAACCUAACCUUGACCUGACCAGAGAAUAACAGGAACAUCAGGACCUUACUGACCUGGCCUAGGUAGACAGCUACAUACAACACAUAGAAGUGUGCAACAACUAACCACGCCCCUCCCUCAUCUUGCUUUUAAAGGGCUUUGCUAAAAGCCUUUCAGGAGUUGCAGCUUUUUAAGGCAUAAGCCACCCAUCUCCUUGCCUGGCCCUGCAAUAAACAUUUCUCUGCUCCAAACUCCGAUGUUUCAGUAUUGUUUGGCCUCACUGUGCAUCGAGCACACAAUGUGUGUGUGCUGUAUGUUGUUAUGUGUAGAAUGUGUGUGUGGUAUGCAUGAUGUGGGGUGUGUGUGGUAUGUGAGGGGUGUGUGUGAUAAGUGUGCGUGGUAUAUGUAUGUGUGUGGUCUGUGUGUAUGGGGGGGUAUUUCCAGUGUGUGGUCUGUGUGUUUGUGUGCUGUCUGUGGUGUGUUGUAUGUGUGUGGUGUGUGUUGCAUGUAAUCUGUGUGUGGUCUGUGUCUGUGGGGUGCAUGUAGUGUGUGUGUGGUAUAUGUGUCUGUAAUUUAUGUGGUGUCCGUGGUGUGUAUGUCUGUGGUUAGUGUAGUGUGUGUCAUGUGUUUGGUGUAUGUGUGUGUACAGUGUAUGUGGUGUUUCUAUCUUCUGUGCUUUGUUUACAGGUGUGUUUGGUGUGUGGUAUAUGUGUGGAGUGCAUAGUGUAUGUGUGUGGUCUGUGUGUAUAAGAAGUAUGUGUGGUCUGUGUGUCUGUGUGGUGUGCAUGUGUGUGGUAUGUGUAUCUUUGGUUUGUGUGGUGUCUGGUGUGUGGUGUGUGUCAUGUUUGGUGUAUGUGUGAUAUAUGUAUGUGUGGUGUUUGUGAUGUGGUUUGUGCAUCUGAUCUGUGUUGGGAACGUGUCUGUGGUGUGGGGGGUGUGGUGUCCAUGAUGUAUGUGUUGUGUGUGUGGUAUGUGUGUGGUGUAUGUUUGUGUCUGAUAUAUGUGUAUGUGCAGGUGUGGCAAUAUGUGGUGUAUGUGUGUAGUGUAUCUGGUGUGUGUGGUCUGUAUGUGGGUUUUGUGGUGUCUGUGGUAUAUGUGUUGUGUGUGAGAUCUGUGUAUGUGCUAUAUGUGUGGUGUGGAUGGUAUGUGUGUGGUGUAUGUUUAUGUGUAUGUGUGGUGUGCUGUGUGUGUGGUGUGCGGGUGAGGCAUGUGGUAUAUGUGUGGUGUA